UACGUAGGGUGCAAGCGUUAAUCGGAAUUACUGGGCGUAAAGCGUGCGCAGGCGGUGAUGUAAGACCGAUGUGAAAUCCCCGGGCUUAACCUGGGAACUGCAUUGGUGACUGCAUUGCUCGAGUAUGGCAGAGGGGGGUGGAAUUCCACGUGUAGCAGUGAAAUGCGUAGAGAUGUGGAGGAACACCGAUGGCGAAGGCAGCCCCCUGGGCCAAUACUGACGCUCAUGCACGAAAGCGUGGGGAGCAAACAGG
rnacentral:rRNA from 1 species